rnacentral:rRNA from 1 species
CUGGCUCUCUAGGGAGCAUGUGCACGCCUUGUCAUCUUUAACCAAUACCUGUGCACCUUUUGUAGACCUUUCGGGGUCUAUGUUGCUAUCUUUUUCCACAAUGUAUGUUAAUAGAAUGUUGUGCCCUGUAUAAUAUAUACAACUUUCAGCAACGGAUCUCUUGGCUCUCGCAUCGAUGAAGAACGCAGCGAAAUGCGAUAAGUAAUGUGAAUUGCAGAAUUCAGUGAAUCAUCGAAUCUUUGAACGCACCUUGCGCUCCUUGGUAUUCCGAGGAGCAUGCCUGUUUGAGUGUCAUUAAUAUACAUAUAUCAAGCCUUCUCUUGUAGAAGGGUUUGGAUGUGGGGGUUUGCUGGCCUCUUAAUCUUAAGAGUUCAGCUCUCCUGAAAUGCAUUAGCAGAACAACCUUAUGUUCAUUGGUGUGAUAACUAUCUACGCUAUUGAAUGUUGAGGGGGAAGUUCAGCUUUCUAACGGUCCCUUGGACAACUCAUCAUUAAUGUGACCUCAAAUCAGGUAGGACUACCCGCUGAACUUAAGCAUAUCAAUAAGCGGAGGAAAAGAAACUAACAAGGAUUCCCCUAGUAACUGCGAGUGAAGCGGGAAAAGCUCAAAUUUAAAAUCUGGCGGUUUUUUUGGCCGUCCGAGUUGUAAUCUAGAGAAGUGUUAUCCGCGCUGGACCGUGUACAAGUCUCCUGGAAUGGAGCAUCAUAGAGGGUGAGAAUCCUGUCUUUGACAUGGACUGCCAGGGCUUUGUGAUG